rnacentral:tRNA from 1 species
GCCCCUGUGACGCAGUGGUUAGCGUGUCGUUCUUAUAUUGAUACGGCUUAGCUGAUCAAUAUGACGAGAAAUGCGAAAGUGUAAGUCCGCCUCGAAGCUUUCAAUUACCCCGAUAAGGUAAUUAUCACACAGCGACUAACUGGGUUAAAUAGCGAGGGUUCGACCCCCUCCAGGAGCA